CUGUUCAGAUGUGUCCCUUAUCCGGCUCAAACGUUACUCGUCGAAACGUCUCGAUGAUACCGGACUCAAGAGUUUCUCCUCUACCGUACCUAAAUUCAUGUAAUUACAGGAACAUGUCGUUCCCUUCGAGGGUUCCAUAACCUUCACUUUAUGAGGGUUUAAGAAGAAGAGGCGGACUGUCAUGUGUUUCGUAACCUUCUCCGUUGACCCGCUGGUUUCUUAAUCAAGUAACCAAGGUAUGCGGUACCGUCUUUCACCUCCGGCUAGGGGUCCUACUGGGAAAGACGGCCUAAGUUAAUUCUACUGCUUUUCAAAAAACGGUUCCGGAAAAAAGGUCAUACGCAAACUUAUACCUGUGUCUGAGUUUCUUGCCACCCUAGAAAUACACCAGCCCGAGGUUCACCUGGAAGUUGGUACUCAGGAAGUGGACAGGCAACGAGCUGCCAGACGGGUUUGGACACGGCCCAGCAUCCUACUUUCGACGAAAAUGACUCAAGAUGAGUUACAUCGCCGCGUUAUCCUCAAUAAAAACAUAAUGGCGAGACGAUAACGUUCGAAGUAGACCUAGACAAUACAGUAGGUAUACUCGAUUCAACUCUCCCUUUACCUUCUCCUCCGAACCAAGCUGUACUAGAAGACAGUGCAGUUAGGAACAAGGAGUCUCGCCGCUAGUGUGUUGCCUGCCCUAAUACCUCAGCAGUUUGCUGUAAUGUCAACGUAGUUUCUAUCUUUCUUAGGAGUUCUAGGACCACGUAAGAAAAAACGACAGCUUUGACUUCUUUCUUUCACGGUCUUGUUGUAGGACACAAGUAAAAGAAAAAUUAAAAGAAGGUGCUCUUAGUACCAAGACAUUUGUGUCGUCGUCAAAGUUUUACCGAGUUUUUCAUGUUACGUAAGAAACA
rnacentral:rRNA from 1 species